rnacentral:rRNA from 1 species
CGCGGCCUAUCAGCUUGUUGGCGAGGUAACGGCUCACCAAGGCGAUGACGGGUAGCUGGUCUGAGAGGAUGGCCAGCCACAUUGGGACUGAGAGACGGCCCAGACUCCUACGGGAGGCAGCAGUGGGGAAUCUUGCGCAAUGGCCGAAAGGCUGACGCAGCGACGCCGCGUGGAGGAUGACGCCCUUCGGGGUGUAAACUCCUGUUGCCCGGGACGAAUGCCUGUUUCGACAGGAGUGACGGUACCGGGUGAGGAAGCGCCGGCUAACUCUGUGCCAGCAGCCGCGGUAAUACAGAGGGUGCGAGCGUUGUCCGGAAUCACUGGGCGUAAAGGGCGCGUAGGCGGUCGGGUAAGCGUGCGGUGAAAGUCCGGGGCUCAACCCCGGAUCGGCCAUGCGAACUGUCCGACUGGAGCACGGUAGAGGCACAUGGAAUUCCGGGUGUAGCGGUGGAAUGCGUAGAGAUCCGGAAGAACACCGGUGGCGAAGGCGGUGUGCUGGGCCGUAGCUGACGCUGAGGCGCGACAGCGUGGGGAGCAAACAGGAUUAGAUACCCUGGUAGUCCACGCCGUAAACGAUGGGCACUAGGUCCUUGGGGGAGCGACCCCGUGAGGGCCGGCGCUAACGCAUUAAGUGCCCCGCCUGGGGAGUACGGA